ensembl:lncRNA
GCAGGUAGCCUAGUGGUUAGAGUGUUGGGCCAGUAACCAGCAGGUAGCCUAGUGGUUAGAGUGUAGGGGCGGCAGGUAGCCUAGUGGUUAGAGUGUUGGGCCAGUAACCAGCAGGUAGCCUAGUGGUUAGAGUGUAGGGGAGGUAGGUAGACUAGUGGUUAGAGUGUUGGGCCAGUAACCAGCAGGUAGCCUAGUGGUUAGAGUGUAGGGGAGGUAGGUAGACUAGUGGUUAGGGUGUUGGGCCAGUAACCAGCAGGUAGCCUAGUGGUUAGAGUGUAGGGGUGGCAGGUAGCCUAGUGGUUAGAGUGUAGGGGUGGCAGGUAGCCUAGUGGUUAGAGUGUAGGGGUGGCAGGUAGCCUAGUGGUUAGAGUGUAGGGGUGGCAGGUAGCCUAGUGGUUAGAGUGUAGGGGU